AUUGAACGCUGGCGGCAUGCCUUACACAUGCAAGUCGAACGGUAACGGGCCUUCGGGUGCCGACGAGUGGCGAACGGGUGAGUAAUGCAUCGGAACGUACCUUUCAGUGGGGGAUAACGUAGCGAAAGUUACGCUAAUACCGCAUAUUCUGUGAGCAGGAAAGCAGGGGAUCGCAAGACCUUGCGCUGAUUGAGCGGCCGAUGUCAGAUUAGCUAGUUGGUGAGGUAAAGGCUCACCAAGGCGACGAUCUGUAGCGGGUCUGAGAGGAUGAUCCGCCACACUGGAACUGAGACACGGUCCAGACUCCUACGGGAGGCAGCAGUGGGGAAUUUUGGACAAUGGGGGCAACCCUGAUCCAGCCAUGCCGCGUGAGUGAAGAAGGCCUCGGUUGUAAAGA
rnacentral:rRNA from 1 species